GGGGGCGAAACGGGUUCGACGGGGAUCAUGAAACUUAAGUUGCAUGCCGAGGUUCCUGCCUGCUCGUAAAACAGGUGGGACUUAAAGCAAUCGCUGACGACUAUGCGUACGCUGUAGCCGCGUAGGCGGCUACCGUCCUGCCAGUUCGGGUCCGCGGGGCUGGCAAAGGGCGUCGACUAGCGGAACAGCCCGCUGCAGGUGCCUAUGGGUAGUGGGUCAAAUAAGUAGGCUGGCUUGAGGGGAAUCCUUCCCGAGGGGAGUCCCUAAGGGCGAGACUCUAAAGCCCGGGAUAAGCAUGUAGAAGCUUAAGUGGAAGUUUUCCGGACGCGGGUUCGACUCCCGCCGCCUCCACCA
rnacentral:tmRNA from 2 species